rnacentral:lncRNA from 1 species
AGAACACCCCAGAGACAUCGCCAACACUAAGAUGGGCACAGGAGCAACCGUUCCAAGAUGGGAUCCACGUGGAGCAUCUUCCAGUUCGGUUUUCCUCUCCAGCCCUGUCCUCUGCUGUUCUUAGCUCUCGGAAGUUUCAAGAAAUGACAAACGAGUCUGAGAUUGGGACGAAGUAAGCCAUCGGGAACAUGGCUUAUUCGGCUCCAGUGAAAUUCAAACAGACCAUAUAUCAAAUCGUGAGCAACUGGUGAACUUAAGCAAAGCUUGGAACCCUCCGCCUGCAAUGAGAGGGUGGGCGGCCUGCCAGUCCUUCCGAGCCCGUGGAUCCUAGGCUUUCUCACCCCCGCCCUCCUCCCCUCUCUCCUCCUUUCUCCACCUUUUCUACCUCCUUCUGUCUCUGUUCCCUCCCUCUUUCCUUCUCUCCUGUCCUGCUCCUUCUCUGUGCCUAUGACCUGAGAAGACCAAACAUCCCUAGAGUCUUGGACAUUCCAUGAUCCCUGGGGCAAACCCCACCGGCAAGGGUCUCUUCUCCUGGUUGCCGCCCCCCAGCGCCCAGCCUCCUCCCACGCAGACUCCCCAGCCAGCUCCCUGGCUCCAGCUCCAUGCGCACAUAGCCCUUCCUUUUCCUGCACGACACGGCUCGACUCACAGAGGUGCAGAGUGGCCCCCUCGAACUUGCUGAUGCUCACAGCCAACCAUCUCCCUGAGAACAAGCCCAUACUCUUCCUUCUGUGCCAGCUGACACCUGUCUACACGCAAUUUCACAGCUGAGGAAACCCAGGACCAAAGAGGCAAUAUUACUUCUAAGUUUAACUUCUCAAUAUGAAAAACAAUAACGCUUUGAUAAUGGGUCACACUGAUAAGGAUGAACAGACUUUUAAUAGAUCAUGAUGAUGAUGAAGGAAUAUUCCAGACGGUUGAAAUGUCAGAAUCCUUGGAAAGCAGGCUGUCAUCUAUGUGAAUAAGCAGGUACCUUCCCAAGACAGAAAAAAGAAGUUUAAAACAUGCUCUUACGAAAUGGCAGAGGUGAAACUGUCACCACAUGGGCUUUGAGGGGAUCAAACUUCAAAGCAUGAGACGAGGCCUCGUCCGGAUUCGUCAGAGGACUGUGGUCAAUGUUGUUGGUUUUUAUUCCCAGUUGUGAGUCACAGGCCACAGUCAUCAUCUGGAGUGUCCCUAAGCGCCCCACUCCACUUCUAAGGACAGUUAUUUUGAGCAUCCGUUCUUUGGAAAUCCGGCUCUAGACGCUGCUGAACUCAAAGCCCGGGUCCUAUGAAUCUGUAGCUUCCCGGAGAUCGGGCGUCCAGCGACCACAGCUGGAAAUCGUUAGGCUUUCAAGGAGCACUGACCGUGAAAUUGCAGGCCACCCUGACUGUUCUAACACUGACUCAGUUGGUUGCAUGAGAAAGAAUAUGAUUCUUUGUACAUCUUCUCAGGCUCAAAUCCCGUUCAGACGAUACUGGAUUCCCAAAUGGGCAGAAAACGGACUCCUGGACAUGGCAAAACCCCGUUUCGUGACAUGGGGUGGUGACCCGGACCCAAGUCCCAUGCUGCCACUCAUCGGCUCUGAUGAGGAUGCUCAGUCCCCAUCGGGGACUGAGCAUCCUCAUCAACAGACAGGGCCAAGGGGCCCUUUUACAUCAUUGGAUACAGGAAAAAACAAGGAAAUGGAUGCGGAGUUCCCAUUGUGGUGCAGCAGAAAUGAAUCCGACUAGGAACCAUGAGGUUGCAGGUUCGAUCGCUGGCCUUUCUCAGAGGUUUAGGGAUCCGACGUUGCCAUGAGCUGUGGUGUAGUUCGCAGGUGCGGCUUGGAUCUGGCAUUGCUGUGGCUCUGACAUAGGCUGGUGGCUACAGCUCUGAUUCGAUCCCUAGCCUGGGAAUCUCCAUAUGCUGUGGGUGCAGCCCUAAAAAGACAAAAGACAAAAAAAAAAAAAAAAAAAAAAAAAAAA